GUGAACAUGGGUAGUGGUCCAAAGAGCUGCUCUUUGAAAAAUAAAAAAUGAUACAGUUUGAAGGGAGAGAUGGAAGAAGGGUUUCGGACAGGGCAACAAGUCAGCGUCAAUAGCUGUAAUAAUAGGCCACAUAAAUUAAUUAUUAAUUAAUUAAACCACCCAUUAUUAAUAAAUAUUAAAAGCUCUAAUUAAUAUUAUAUCUCACACAUACAGUUUUUCGUUACAUAUAUAUUUCAAAAUCAAUGCACAUUUAUGUAUAUAUAUAUAUACAUGUGCAUGGCUCCUGUUUACCAACAACAUAUAUGUUUGUCAUUAAAAAAAAAAAAAAUCAAUGGGCCGAUGAAACCCUGGUUGAAGCUGCUGCUUGUAGUAAUACUGCUGGCUGGCUGCCUUGUUCUUUGUGUACUUUUGUACUGAUGUCAGCUUCAUUUGUGUGUUGGUCUGAGAGGUUGAAGCUGCCAGCAUGAUCUGGUGUUUAUUCAAUAGAAUCCCUUUUAACUCGAUCUUCCAAAAUCUUUAUUUUCGAAAUAAUUACUAAUUAGGUUUUUUUUUUUUUUUUUGGAUCUGUUUUUUUAUUUUUUGGUAUAUAUUGAUUGAGGAGAAAUUUCAAAGAUUUGGGUUCAUCGAUCAUCAGGUCAUCUAGUAGCUUCAAUCACUCACCAACAACACUCGGUAAAGAUUACGUUUCAAGAGUUAUAUACUAUUAGAUUUCUGAAUUCCACAUUCGCCUGCACUUAUCGAUCAUUUCCCGGUAUGGUACGAUCGAAUGAAAAUAGUGAAGAAUGAGUUUUUUUUUUCAGGUUUCCAACUUCAAUCAUGUAAAAAUUUGAGCUUGUGCUCAAAAAAAAAAAAAAAAAGAAGGCAUUAGAUUUAGGGUUUGUUCAUAAUUUAAUUUAUUUUUUGUAUAUAAAUACUUUUAAUAUUAUUUCUAGUAAUGUGGAGCUGUAAUAUACUGAUCACAUAGUUUGAAAACCCAAAGAGAAACAAAAGAAAAAUAAUUGAAUGCAAUUA